UGAGUAAUCUGCCCUUCACUUCGGGAUAACCGCCGGAAACGGUGGCUAAUACCGGAUAUGACUCCUCAUCGCAUGGGUGGGGGGUGGAAAGCUUUUUGUGGUUUUGGAUGGACUCGCGGCCUAUCAGCUUGUUGGUGAGGUAAUGGCUCACCAAGGCGAUGACGGGUAGCCGGCCUGAGAGGGCGAUCGGCCACACUGGGACUGAGACACGGUCCAGACUCCGUACGGGAGCAG
rnacentral:rRNA from 1 species